rnacentral:lncRNA from 1 species
AAGAGACUGGGCAAGCAAUUUCCAAGAGCAGGGGGGCCUCGGGGGAUUCUCACCCUGUCACCGUUCGGCAAGAGUUACAUGGUGACCCACCAGGCCCACGUGGGGACAACUCCGCAUUUCCUGACAUUAAGAGACGACAUCCAUACCUCUGGAUUUACAAACUGAGCCAGGGGUGGUGAGGGGAAAGAAGGGAUUUCACAAUGAAAGGACUCAUCUUCAAAGGGUACUGGAGUUGAGGUCCUGACUGAGUCCACUCAGGGUAUUCAAGUACUGACUUAUAGACCAGAAGUCAUAAUCUGAUGAACUCAGAGUGAUCCAUCUUUCUCAAAGAAUUAAAAAGUUUUAAGCCAAUAUUUAAAAAUCUGGAUUUUUAAAAUCUUCCUUUGACAACC